UGCUUCCUGUUUAAGUCUGGUGGACACUGGGCAGGAGGUGGGCUGGCAGACAGGAGCCCUGCGUCUGAGUUCCAGUUAUGCUGUGGGUUUUCUGGGCAUCCAGGGACAGGGGGUCCUUUCCCUCACUGAUCCCACGGUCAAGGCAACCAGCUGGGAGGACCGACCUGCCCCUGCCCGGAAGUGCUGUGGGGAUUCUCAUGGGGCCCAGCCUCUGGCCUCCCUCUGUCCAGAGGUGCCGCUCAGACACCAGCAGUGGUCCACAGCCGUCAGCAGGGAGGACUGUGUACCUGCAGGGAAAUGGGGGAGACCCAUCUGCAAGGAGGAAGGAAGUGCAGCUUGGGGGCAGCUGAGGAGUUGGAGUUUCCUCCUUGGCAAGAGACUCAAGUACCUGCUGACCCCGAGGGAGCCCAACCACUGGGCCGUGGAGCGGGAGGGGGCUACACCGUCCAGCUCCCGCGUCACCGCGAAUGGCGUGCUCCUGAAGCCCACCCACAUCGUCGUGGAGACCAUGAUGUGAGCCCGCCCGGCCGCAGGGGCUGCCUGCCUGCUGUUUACUAACCUUAGAUUCUCAUAGGACCAGGUUUACAGAGCUUUACAUUUGCACUAGGAUUUUUUUUUUAAUUGUCACAGAAAAUGUUACUCUGUGUGUGUGUGUGUGUGUGUGUGUGUGUGUGUGUGUGUGUGUGUGUGUCUACAGUAUUGUGCGUAUGUGUACUUUGUUCUGAUUUGGGGAUAUUUUGUACAAAAACCAAAACCCUUGGGCAGAUGUCCUGGGUGAGGCAGAGCUUUCAUACUGAAUUAGAUGUAUUUUAUGGGAACUUGGUAAAUUUUUCUUCGUAUUUUUUUUUUACAUAAUAACUAUGUAUACAUUUAGAGAUUGUCAAACACUUUUACCACUUGAAUUGACCUUGCCAGCAAUAGAUCUCAUUUUCAAAAGCAAUUCUUCGGUGCUUGUGUAGCUGGCAGAAAGUUCUGCCCGAGAAAACGCAAGGUGGAAUUUUCCUGGGACGGCAGACCCAUGUUAAAGGUGUAGUACCUUCCAACCUGGCUCGAGGAGAAGCAAACGGCGGGGAGAGGGGCCCGCCGCUGGCCAGACCCAGCGGGGCUGGAGGAGGAGGGCUGGGAGCAGACGCCUCCUUGCGCGGGUCUCGGCCACGAGGAGUGGUGCCCGAGUCAUGACCCAGCCUCAGAUCACAGGGCGGACUGAGCAGGAGGACGCUCCACAGCAGAAUCUGAUGCUGAGAGCCGGGAAACUCUUGCACAAAGAGCAGGAUCCCACCUUUCAUUCUGAGAUGAGGGGCGGGUGGUGAGAGGGACCCUCGGCGGGCUGGCAGAGCCACUCACCCACGAGGAGCGGUGGCGCCCCAGGGGGCUGGUGGGGACAGGCUCCAGCGUCUUCGCAGUCCUACCUGGGGCGUCCCAGGAGGAGGCCUGACCCAGCCCAGCAGGGGCUGGGAUCUGAGGGCUGCCACCUCACCGGGUGGGUCUGCUGCACCCUAAUGGGGUCCCGUCAGGUCCUGGGGCUCCCCAGCUGGCAGCUUGGAGCUGUCUGUGGGAGGGAAGCAUGGCGUAUUUGGUGAAGGCUAAGGGGUGAGCGGGUGAGACCUGGGAUUGGGGCUUUUCUUCCCUCCUCUCUCCACCCUCAUCCCCCGGAGGCUGGGAAACCCCCGCUGGCUCUGGUGGGACACCCCAGACCUCCCAGCCCUGGCCACCUUCGCGUCUUGCGGGAAGUGCCAAGAGUGUCUUUGGAGGGUCGCAGAGGGUUUGUUCCGGGGGAAUUCCCCCCAGGUCGCUCCUCCCCGCUGGGGCCCAAGUGCAGCCCUCGAUGCUGACCUGGGUCAUCAAUCUCCACUGCACAACCGCUGCAGUGGCUGGUGUCGGAUGUGUGGAGACUGGGAGAGUAGAGGGAGCGUGCUCGAAGGCUGGGGUGGCUCCGGGGCUCGGACAACCCCGACCGGCCUGACCGAGAGCCUGGUGCGGGGCGGUGUUCCUCUCUGAGCCAGGGGAAGGUACUCCCCCUUUACAAUCCUGAGUGCGGACAGGCCUCUGCCCCAGCCCCAUCUGGACCGAAACUGUGCCAUGUAAACAGUCACUUCCAAGUUCAGAAUCUAAACAGAAACAUCGUCACAUACAAACCAGAGCGACAGCCUCGGGGGGUGUGGCGGGUGCCAGCCAGCUCAGUCAAGAGCUGAGGCGCUGCUUCCUGGACCCCGCCCCAGGCUCUGGAGGGGGGAGCCUCUGGGGUCCCCGCUCAGGGGGCAGAGGCAGUUCGUCUCUGGCAAGCACUCACAUUCACUGUUUCCAAAGCAUAUUCUCUGCCAAACAACACCCAACCCUAUUCCAAACCGUUAACAAUUAUAAUGUGUUCCUGUUUUUCUAUGUAUUUAUGGUUUCCACUGUGUCUGAUCUGAUUUUAUUGUUGUUUUUUUUUUCUAAUUGUACUGAGUAGCAGUGUGACCUGUUUUCCUUUGUCAUGGAACUUUAUUUAGUAAACUAACCACUGUCAAUGACUGGGAACAGGUGACGUGUGGGGAUGAGGGGGGCUUGGCAAGCUGUAGCUUCCUGGGCAUUUGUGGUCAUUUCAGGCUACAGCAUCUUCCCUCCAGGGAUGCAGACCCCUGGUGAAGGCUAUAGUAUUUCAGGGUUGGCCGGAAAAUUAUGACAUUCUGGAAAUGGCCUGAGAAAGGCCUCUCACUCUAAAAUUCCCAGACCAAAUUCUAGACCAAAGACACAUGUAGACCAAGUCCCCAGGCCCCACCUGGAGGGAAGGUCAGCCGCUUUCCCCAAGCCCAUUCCUCCAGUCUCCCAGGGCACCUGUCUCCAGUCACAGCCUUCUUGUCCAGUCUUCUAGCUCACGUGUAUCCGCAGAACUUGGCUCUAUGAGUACAAUGUGUAAUGACGUGCAGCUUUUACCUAUGUCUCCACAUAAAGGAAACUGUCAUUGGAGCCCAUGGCUCUGGUCCACCUGUCCAGAGAACAGUCCUCCACCUGCUCUGCUUCUGGGGUGGGUUGGAAAUUCUGAUGCCGCAUGUAGUCCAGGCAGCCAGCUAUGGAAGGGAUGGAUGCAAGGGAGAUGUCAACAGAAUUUUUUACGUUGCAAAAAUGAGUGAGGGCCCCAGGAGAGAUCUCACCCAGGGAAAUGCUUCACUCAGCUGAGCACAGACCAUGUUAGUCCCUGCAGCCGAGAAUCCUGCAUGGUCAGAGAUGGGGAGGCCUCCAGGACCUCACUGUAAAGUGGGGACACUGAGGACUGGAACCAGACUGUCUGGAGUCCGUUCAGGUGGCAGGUUCUCCAAGGCGCAUGCGGUGAGUGGUGAGUGCAGCUCCCUGGGGUUCUCCCUGAAGACCAAAGAUGACCCUUUAUGAGAAGGAAACACUUCGUCCCCAGCAUUCAGGGACAAGGUGAGCAGCACCCCCCACCUUCUGACCAUCCUCAGGCCAACUGGACCCCAGGCUGUGACUUGGUGGGACAGGUGACUGGCGUCUGGUAGGAGAGGCAGCACCAUUCAUCCUGGCCCUGCACCGGCAGCCCUCUGAGAGCCAGGCAUUAAGGUCCCACUGCAUGUGAGGAAACGGGACUAACAAAGCCAGGUGGUAUGCAAGAGGUAGAAUCCUUAUGGCAGGAUUUAGCCUGAGGUCCUGUGGAAAAUUCCCAGGCUGCAGGAAGUGGCCUUGGAUGAUUUGGGGACAAUACAGAGCCCCAUUUCUGUACCUCUGUUCCCUUGUUCUCACCCCAGAUCCCCUGCAUACCCCCAGCCAUGGUGGUGAUGAGGUGGUUGACCCCGCUCAUCCUAGCACAGGGUGUUCUUGUCACCUAGCUGCCCCCACACAGUGGUCAGUGGCCCAGCCAGCAUCUCCCAGCACUGCCCCUCUGGAUGGCAAAAGGCCCUGGGCAGCCUGUGUUGAAGGCAGAGGCACCUUCUCCCCAAGCCUCAGACACAGGCCAGGAAAGAAUACUUGAGAAAAACCAUCUCAAGGUAGCUAGAGGUCCCAUCCAGCCCCAGACUCAGUAUCAGGUAGAUAUCCACAUGGAUGCUGUGAAUACCACUGUGCAAAAAUCCAACAAGCACAAAACAAAAAAGCAAACAAAAACCCAGAUAUCAAAACUUGGAGAGGGGUAUGGGCAACACAGAGCCAGGGAACAGCAUUUCUUUGCCCACCUCCCUCCCUCAAUACCUGGCCCUCAGAUUGCAUCUUGUUUUAAUAGGAAGCUGUUUUCAUUGUUCUCUUGUGGGUGUCACUACAGACAUGUUCUGAACACGUUCCCCAAGGGAGGGAGCAUCUUGUUAUAUAUUUGGCUUCAAAUUGAGAUGUUGGUUCCAUUUUUUUUUACCCAAUUAAUUUUCGAAUCCCUAGCAACUGACUGUAUUUAGCACAGGAGAAAGCUGAGAACGUGGGUCUUGCCUCCUUCCAGAAAUAUGUCUGGCUCAUCAGGACAUUUUUUUAAAACUUCAAAAUAUUUUUAAGAUAUUUUAAACUUUUGUAAAAAAAAAAAAAAAAA